rnacentral:rRNA from 1 species
GACGAACGCUGGCGGCGUGCUUAACACAUGCAAGUCGAACGGAAAGGCCCUGCUUUUGUGGGGUGCUCGAGUGGCGAACGGGUGAGUAACACGUGAGUAACCUGCCCUUGACUUUGGGAUAACUUCAGGAAACUGGGGCUAAUACCGGAUAGGAGCUCCUGCUGCAUGGUGGGGGUUGGAAAGUUUCGGCGGUUGGGGAUGGACUCGCGGCUUAUCAGCUUGUUGGUGGGGUAGUGGCUUACCAAGGCUUUGACGGGUAGCCGGCCUGAGAGGGUGACCGGCCACAUUGGGACUGCGAUACGGCCCAGACUCCUACGGGAGGCAGCAGUGGGGAAUAUUGCAGAAUGGGCGGAAGCCUGAUGCAGCAACGCCGCGUGCGGGAUGACGGCCUUCGGGUUGUAAACCGCUUUCGCCUGUGACGAAGCGUGAGUGACGGUAAUGGGUAAAGAAGCACCGGCUAACUACGUG